UACGUAGGGGGCAAGCGUUGUCCGGAUUUAUUGGGCGUAAAGAGCGUGUAGGCGGCAAGAUAGGUCAGCUGUGAAAACUCGAGGCUCAACCUCGAGACGUCGGUUGAAACCAUCUGGCUAGAGUCCGGAAGAGGAGAGUGGAAUUCCCGGUGUAGCGGUGAAAUGCGCAGAUAUCGGGAAGAACACCCGUGGCGAAGGCGGCUCUCUGGGACGGUACUGACGCUGAGACGCGAAAGCGUGGGGAGCGAACAGG
rnacentral:rRNA from 1 species